rnacentral:rRNA from 1 species
AGAGUUUGAUCCUGGCUCAGAAUGAACGCUGGCGGCGUGCUUAACACAUGCAAGUCGCACGAGAACGCUUCAGCUUGCUGAAGUUAGUAAAGUGGCGCACGGGUGAGUAACGCGUGGGUAAUCUUCCCUCGAAUUGGGGAUAACAUUGCGAAAGCGAUGCUAAUACCGGAUAAUAUCUUUAAUACCUCGGUAAUUAAGAUCAAAGGUGGCCUCUACAUGUAAGCUACUGUUUGGGGAUGAGCCCGCGUACCAUUAGCUUGUUGGUAGGGUAAUGGCCUACCAAGGCAGCGAUGGUUAGCUGGUCUGAGAGGAUGAUCAGCCACACUGGAACUGACACACGGUCCAGACUCCUACGGGAGGCAGCAGUGAGGAAUUUUGCGCAAUGGGGGAAACCCUGACGCAGCAACGCCGCGUGAGUGAUGAAGGCUUUCGGGUCGUAAAGCUCUGUCAAGUGGGAAGAACCCACAUGGUGCUAAUAAUACCAUGUGUUGACGGUACCACUGAAGGAAGCACCGGCUAACUCCGUGCCAGCAGCCGCGGUAAUACGGGGGGUGCAAGCGUUAUUCGGAAUUACUGGGCGUAAAGAGCGCGUAGGCGGUCUCUUAAGUCAGGUGUGAAAGCCCGGGGCUCAACCCCGGAAGUGCACUUGAAACUAAGGGACUUGAGUAUGGGAGAGGGAAGUGGAAUUCCUGGUGUAGCGGUGAAAUGCGUAGAUAUCAGGAGGAACACCGGUGGCGAAGGCGACUUCCUGGACCAAUACUGACGCUGAGGCGCGAAGGCGUGGGGAGCAAACAGGAUUAGAUACCCUGGUAGUCCACGCAGUAAACGGUGAACACUAGGUGUAGCGGGUAUUGACCCCUGCUGUGCCGCAGCAAACGCAUUAAGUGUUCCGCCUGGGGAGUACGGCCGCAAGGUUAAAACUUAAAGGAAUUGACGG